GCCGAAGUGGCGGAGCUGGCAGACGCGCUGCGUUCAGGUCGCAGUUCUCGAAAGGGAGUGUGGGUUCGAAUCCCACCUUCGGCACCA
rnacentral:tRNA from 1 species